rnacentral:rRNA from 1 species
UACGAGGGGGGCAAAUGUUGUUCGGAAUCACUGGGCGUAAAGGGAGCGUAGGCGGGUUCUAAGUCAGGUGUUUAAUCCCGGGGCCCAACCCGGACAGGCACUUGAAACUGGGAAUCUUGAAUAGUGGAGAGGUCAGUGGAAUUGGGGGUGUAGCGGUGGAAUGCGUAGAGAUCCCCAAGAACACCAGUUGCGAAGGCGGCUGACUGGACACAUAUUGACGCUGAGGCUCGAAAGCAUGGGGAGCAAACAGG